GACAGAGGGUGCAAACGUUGUUCGGAAUUACUGGGCGUAAAGCGCGUGUAGGCGGCAGCGCAAGUCGGAUGUGAAAUCCCACGGCUCAACCGUGGAAGUGCACCCGAAACUGCGUAGCUAGAGUCCUGGAGAGGAAGGUGGAAUGCUUGGUGUAGAGGUGAAAUUCGUAGAUAUCAAGCGGAACACCGGUGGCGAAGGCGGCCUUCUGGACAGUGACUGACGCUGAGACGCGAAAGCGUGGGGAGCAAACAGG
rnacentral:rRNA from 1 species